rnacentral:rRNA from 1 species
AUUGAACGCUGGCGGCAGGCCUAACACAUGCAAGUCGAACGAGUGGCGGACGGGUGAGUAAUGUCUGGGAAACUGCCUGAUGGAGGGGGAUAACUACUGGAAAAGGUAGCUAAUACCGCAUACCAUCGGAUGUGCCCAGCUGGGAUUAGCUAGUAGGUUGGGUAAAGGCUCACCUAGGCGACUAUCCCUAGCUGGUCUGAGAGGAUGACCAGACAGACUGGAACUGAGACACGGUCCAGACUCCUACGGGAGGCAGCAGUGGGGAAUAUUGCAAAAUGGGCGCAAGCCUGAUGCAGCCAUGCCGCGUGUAUGAAGAAGGCCUUCGGGGUGGAAAGUACUUUCAGCGGGGAGGCGUUAACCGCAGAAGAAGCACCGGCUAACUCCGUGCCAGCAGCCGCGGUAAUUC